UGCGGGCCAACCAACGGGGCCCAGCGGCGCCGCAGAGCCCGCAAAGAAUGGGAUCGGGGAGAGGGGUUCCGCGGGUGAGAGGGGCGGCGGCGGCGGCCGUGCGCUGCUGUCCGUUGUUCGCUCCGAGAGCUGCCGUCCGUGAGCUGUUAUCCGCUUGUGCGAUGCAACGCCACUCGCCCGCAGAUCCACUGUUGUCUCCCAUCGACCACGCUCCUUUCGUCGCCUUCGAUCUCAUCGAUGCUCCAUCAGUUGCUCCCUCUCGCCGGCGGCCUCGCCGACGUUUGUCGGCACGCGCGAUGUCGAUCCGCUCAUGGUUGCGGGCUCCUCUAUUGCCGCUAGGCGUACUCGUUCCUACCUUCGUUGCUGCAACCACGCCCUCCCAGUUGGACGGUUGGACCUACGGAACCUUUGUUGCGGCAUCCAUCCCCUCCUAGAUACGGUCCUCGGAUUCUGAUGCUCCCGCUAGCAAGGUUGCUCUUGCUUCUGUUGGUCAAUCGUGCAACUGGUGGAAGGAGGACCACGAUUCUCCAUGCUGUGGUGUAGAUUAGGCGGCAGGUACUAGGUUGUCUUCUACUUCCACUUUCGGUGCUCACUUUUCUGAAGUUGGUUCAAAAUGCUUCAGUAGGAUACUUUGACUUUUGUGGUGUUUCUUGUGCUUAAUUAGACCCAUAUAUACUGAACAGAAAACUGAAAUUCAAAUGAAACACCCCUCAAUUUUGUACACUAACCCAAUUAGAUGUUUCAUUAGACUGUUGAUUAUGUCAACUUUCCUUAUGGAUUAUGAUUUCAAUUUGUUUUAGAACAAUACUACAACAUGUAUCAGAGGAUAACCAGUUUUGCUAACCACCACAAGAAUUUCAUAAGCUUACAAUGCCAAAAAAAAGUCUUCAGACUUGUGAAUCAGUCCAACCAAUGCAUUGGUGUUAUAUAAGUACAAAGCGGUUUAUUUUACUUGAAUCACUGGAUGAGUGGUGUGGCACUCGUUAAGCUCUGCACACAUUGACAGUUAUACAUGCAGGCUUGUGGACAACAAAAAUAGAUAAUAGCAACAGUUACAACAGUUGAUGCAGCUUAUGAUUACAAAGCUACUUCCUGAAUUAUUUUUGAUUUCUCUGGAGACUGCAGCUAGGUGCUUGAUGUCACUGAAGAGAAAGAAGUAGAGGAGCUUAUGUUCGCUUUAAUUUGGUGGUCAGUUGCUUAUAAUUUAUUUGAUACGGCGGCUUAGGAUUAUAGUCUUAUGUAACCGUGAAAAUUGUCUUUGGCAAGUUUACGAAGUAGUUCAGAGGACUCACUUUGUAUUGUAUUGUAUUUUAAUAAUUUAUUGUUGUUGUAAUCAAUUAAUAUAAAUUUGCAAUGAUAUACAUUUUGGCUGAUUGGAUGUGACAUGUCUGAUAGUGGAUCGCCGCUUCAACAGUCGAGCUGAUUGGCCUGGUACCUGGUGCCUAGCGGAAGCCGCCCAGCUGACACCGUGCGGCGGACAGAGGCAUAUAGCUAAUCGCGGCGUAAAGCGGGCUGCCGCAAAGCCCGCAAAAAUGAUGCGGCGGCAGGCGGGCAGCCGCAUUGACCCGCGACGAACCAUGUGGUCAGUGCGGCUGCGGGGCGGGCAGCCGCAACCCGCCCCGCUUGCAUGCAUACUUGAGACGAGCGAGGACUUAAGUUCAUUUUAUCUUCUUCUCAAUCUCCGUUCUUCUUUAAUUAACUAUGAUCUUGAUAAAACCAUGCGCUGUCCGGCGAUGCGAAAGAUGAGAAAGAAAUUGGCUGAUAUCAUGACGAUAGUAGGUAGUAUAGAUAUCAUUAUGGGGGAAGUUGAUCGUUGAAAUGAUAAUAGAUAGGGUAAAGGUAGAAACUAUCAAUUCUUUUUCGAGCUCAGCCUCUGUAGUCCACUCUUUCAAUAUAGGAAGUAGAGAAAAGGAUGCAAGCCCAAAGUCUAGGAAAAGCAUCUCAUUUCCUGGCAAAAAAGCAAUCCACUGUGUCGAGGAAGGGAAGAAAGGCUCUGCUUUUGGUAUUUAUUUAUCAAAGAAAGACACAUUUAAGCGAGCGUGGCAAGGGACUAAGGUUUUGUUGUCGCGUGAUAGUAAAAAGCAUUGGCGCACACUGAUUGAUACGGGGGCGAGUCGAUCCUUUGUCUCCCUUGUCGAGAGGCUGGUUGAGAGAGCAUCUUGAGGGUGUCCACAUCUUAGGGCAUGCAGUCGUGAGGUUCGAGCAUUUGUCGAGAUAAGAAGGUGAGGGUGUCAUUUUCUGUUUUAUUCGGUACUCCCUAAACAAGAAGCUGCUUAUUCUUUCUACUAUGGCGGAUAAAGCAAACCAAAAUGUGCAACGGCUUUCGCGCUAGUUGCUCCAUCCGUUGCUUGUUUGGUUUCGAUGCAUAAAUCAACCUCUCGUUCAGGCGGUAAUCCUGGUAGAGUCUCAAUUGUAUUUUUGUAUGAAUACACAAUCUCUCUUCUACUCCCUCCGUCCCUAAAUAACUGUCGUUUUUGCUUCCUGAAAAAUAACUUUGAUUAAUUUUAUAAAAAAAUAUUAAUAUUUAUGAUACAUAAUUAAUAUAAUUAGAUAGAUCUUUUAAUCUAAUUUUUUAACAAAUUUAUUUGGAGAUACAAAUAUUGCAUGUUUUUUCUACAAAUCGAGUCAAAAUUGUGGCACGUACACCGACGACGACACUUAAAAAGGGGACAGAAGGAGUAGUUAGUUGUCAACAUGCGAAACAAAACAGCCCCAAACUGGCCUAAACAGUGGCGGAUCCAGGAUUCAUGGAUAGGGGGGCUGACAUCUUUCUUCCUCCUCCAGCCCCCCUCUCCUUCUUUCUUCUCUUCUUCUUCCCCUCAUUCCUCCCCUAUUUUUCUUUGAUGUGCAAGCACUGGCGCACCCCCAGCCCCCACCCUAGAUCUGUCCCGGGGCCCAAAAUAAUAUCUCGUCCGCUUCACUGCUUCAUGUUAUGGGUUUGGUAGCCAUCAACUUAACUGUUAUAUAACCGCGCCCCACGCUGAAGGGGUUGAAGAGGCGAUUAAUGUUUCGGGGUGUAUUUGCGAGCCAGGGACCGACUGCUGUCACAUGAAAAUAUGAUGGGGAUGAAAAUAUGCUGCUCUGGGACAAGCGCCUCAUCGGAGCACUCGAGCGUUAGAGACCGGGGCAAAUUGUUGCAUUUUGGACAUUUGCACCGCUUCCUACAUGAUGCGCCUUCGGCCCACCAGUGCUCCGCCUUCUUAGUUCAGCCGCAAAAAUACGACAAUUUGUGUUGGUCCCGGGCAUUCUGGCUUUUGGCUCCAAACUAAAAUGACUCGAAUUCAAAUUGAAAACUCACAUGAUGUUUAAAAGGAAAGUUCAUACAUGAAGAGAAAAAUACACAUGGAAAGGGAACUUGUUUCUACGCUUAGCUUGCCUAAUAAUAAUUAUUCCAUCAGAAUGAAAUGUUUGUUCAAAUUGAAUAAAAAAUAUUGUGCACAAGACGUAACAGAAAAAAGAUUAUAGAUUGGCCCCAUUGACAAUAAUUAUCCAGCUUAAAUUUUUCUGCUAUGGAACAUAGAGUUUAUCUGGCUAGAGGCAAAUAUUUGUACACAUAGAAGAACAAAAUUUUAUAUAAUGAAAAGAAAAUUAUAUGAGUUUGCUACAAGAUUAUAUACACGAAGCAAAAAUAUUAUGCAUAUGAGUUUGUAUUGAUCCCUUAAUUGGAGGGCCACAUGUACUGAACUCGUGGCAUGCUGAUGGACAACUUUCAAUUGUAAUAAACAGCAGUAAAGAAAGAGAGGGUAUGUAAGCGGAGGGCGGAUAUAUGCAAUACUUCAGAGUGCAGUUGGAUCACGACACGUGGUCUCGAUCCCACACGUCAGCGACCACGCACUACUGCAGAGGAGUUUCGUCCAAAGCGGAAAGAGGCAUGUGGUGCAGGCUGGAUGGGCUAGAAAUUUUUCAUUGUUGGUCCAUAGUUUCCACGAAGCUAAACUUGGUCAUAGUAUUCCAAAUAAUUCUUCAUGACUCAUGUGGCCAUGUCUCCAUACAAAAUCUUUUGAAGGGUCUCCCAAAUAUCAUGAAAGAGAAAGGGUUAAUUGGAAUGGUACUAUUACAAUUUCUCAAGGUUGGAGAUAUACCACUAUAAUUCUUCAUAUUAGAUAUAUGCUACUAGAAUACAUUUUUUUCUAUUUUGAACCCACACACAGCGUAUACGAGUUUGGUAUUUUUCACGUAUAGACCUAUUUGCCCCUCUCUCUCUUUCUCUCCUGUAUGUCGCCCUGCUCCAUUACGUCGCGGCGCGCCGCUCAGAACCCUAUCCGUCGCCAGAGUUGAUCUCGGAGUACCCACUGCCGCAGCGGAGAUCGGAGCAGAGGAGGCGCUGCCUGCCACCGCGGGCGCAGGCGUGCUGUUUUAUCUGUUUUCUUUUUCUUGGGAAGCUGUUAAGCUCUAUAUCUUCUACUCCGUACAUCAAUUGUCCAAUCGACUUUCAGUUGCACGUUCUGUUCAAGAUCUUCAAAUCUAUAUCAUAUUUUCAAUGAAACAUUUUUAUUUGUUUGAGAACAUUUAUUCCAAAAAAAAUUUUCCAAAAUAUUUUAUUUUGUUCUCAGAAUAAUGGCGACCGCAUGGCCUAACUCUUGCAGUCUUGUUCGUCGAAAAAAAAA